UACAGAGGUCUCAAGCGUUGUUCGGAUUCAUUGGGCGUAAAGGGUGCGUAGGCGGCGCGGUAAGUCGGGUGUGAAAUCUCGGAGCUUAACUCCGAAACUGCAUUCGAUACUGCCGUGCUCGAGGACUGGAGAGGAGAUUGGAAUUCACGGUGUAGCAGUGAAAUGCGUAGAUAUCGUGAGGAAGACCAGUGGCGAAGGCGGAUCUCUGGACAGUUCCUGACGCUGAGGCACGAAGGCCAGGGGAGCAAACGGG
rnacentral:rRNA from 1 species